rnacentral:misc_RNA from 1 species
AUCUGCCUCUCAAUCUUCAUCCUGUUCGCUUCAGUUUUGGCAGCACCGAAAAAAUGCGGACCAAAUGAGGAUUUCAAAGAGUGCGGAACUGCUUGUGAAGCCAACUGCGCCGAAGGACACGUGAUGUUCUGCACAAUGCAAUGCAUUGUAAACGUGUGCCAGUGCAAGGAUGGUUUCUUCCGUAACAAGGAUAAGAAAUGUGUUCCACGCAACAAAUGCUAAGCUCAAUUUCAUUAUAUGUUCCUUAUAAAUUUCACAAACUAUUCAAUUUUAAUUCAGCUUGCAAAUAAACCAUUUUUUAAUU